rnacentral:lncRNA from 1 species
GGCAGUCUAUACCCCAACUCAACUGGCUGGUCCUCAGUGCUGCCUGCUUCCGUGCCCAACUUAGAACUACACAUCUACUGCCUCUUGGUAACAUGUCAUUAUGAGAGUUUCACUCUGUUGCCAGGCUGGAGUACAGUGGCACGAUCUUGGCUCACUGCAACCUCCACCUCCCAGGUUCAAGAGAUUCUCCUGCCUCAGCCUCCUGAGUAGCUGGGACUACAGCCACGUGCCACCACACCCAUCUAAUUUUUGUAUUUUUAGUAGAGACAGAGUUUCACCACGUUGGCCAGGCCAGGAUGGUCUCCAUCUCUUGACCUCAUGAUCCACCCGCCUUGGCCUCUCAAAGUGCUGGGAUUGCAGGCUUCUUCAUCAGCCCUAACCCUGCCAACCACUCCUGCCUCACUGAAUGUGCCAACGGAUUGCUCAGCUCCAACCAAGGAAAAGAAGAAGGAAGUUGGAUAUUUUAUACCCUCUACAUUGUCCAUUAGCAACACAACCUAGAGCUAGGAUGGAGGAAGAAAACGCCAAAAUGCUGAUGAAAAAUGUUCAGAUGUAUCACAUAUUAAGCAUACAUGAUCUCAAAUAUUUUUCCUGAUUUAUGCUAUGCAUGCUAUUUUCCAUGUUGUAUAGGCUCUGGUGCUAGUCUACAUUUAUAGAAAUCUCCAUCAGCUGUACAAAUGGCAAUUUAAAUACAUUUAACUAUGUGCUAAUAAUCUCAUAAUACAAUUUAUCAUGUAUGAUUGGCAGAAGAAAUUAUUUGGGGCAAAAGCUAUGAUUGUAUUGUUGUAAGUUAUUAUGAAUGCUGGGCAGUGUAGGACAUGGCACUUGCUACCACCUCCCAGAAAUGUGUAAGGGC